GCCCGGCUAGCAUAGCGGUAGUGCGUCAGACUUCUAUCGUUUUCCUGUUUGAUCUGAAGGUCGCGGGUUCGAUCCCCGCGUUGGGUU